AUUGAACGCUGGCGGUAGGCCUAACACAUGCAAGUCGAACGGCAGCACAGUAAGAGCUUGCUCGUACGGGUGGCGAGUGGCGGACGGGUGAGGAAUACAUCGGAAUCUACUUUUUCGUGGGGGAUAACGGAGGGAAACUUACGCUAAUACCGCAUACGACCUACGGGUGAAAGCAGGGGAUCUUCGGACCUUGCGCGAUUGAAUGAGCCGAUGUCGGAUUAGCUAGUUGGCGGGGUAAAGGCUCACCAAGGCGACGAUCCGUAGCUGGUCUGAGAGGAUGACCAGCCACACUGGAACUGAGACACGGCCCAGACUCCUACGGGAGGCAGCAGUGGGGAAUAUUGGACAAUGGGCGCAAGCCUGAUCCAGCCAUACCGCGUGCGUGAAGAAGGCCUUCGGGUUGUAAAGCCCUUUUGUUGGGAAAGAAAAGCAGCAGGUUAAUACCCCGCUGUUCUGACGGUACCCAAAGAAUAAGCACCGGCUAACUUCGUG
rnacentral:rRNA from 1 species